rnacentral:rRNA from 1 species
AAAACUUUCAACAACGGAUCUCUUGGUUCUGGCAUCGAUGAAGAACGCAGCGAAAUGCGAUAAGUAAUGUGAAUUGCAGAAUUCAGUGAAUCAUCGAAUCUUUGAACGCACAUUGCGCCCGCCAGCAUUCUGGCGGGCAUGCCUGUCCGAGCGUCAUUU